UAUGUAGGUGGCAAGCGUUGUCCGGAAUUACUGGGUGUAAAGGGCGUGUAGGCGGGGAUAUAAGUUGGAUGUGAAAUUCCUGGGCUCAACCCGGGCGCUGCAUCCAAAACUGUAUCUCUUGAGUGCCGGAGAGGAAAGCGGAAUUCCCAGUGUAGCGGUGAAAUGCGUAGAGAUUGGGAGGAACACCAGUGGCGAAGGCGGCUUUCUGGACGGUAACUGACGCUGAGGCGCGAAAGCGUGGGGAGCAAACAGG
rnacentral:rRNA from 1 species